rnacentral:rRNA from 1 species
UACGUAGGGGGCAAGCGUUGUCCGGAUUUAUUGGGCGUAAAGAGCGUGUAGGCGGCUUUACAGGUCCGUUGUGAAAACUCGAGGCUCAACCUCGAGACGCCGGUGGAAACCGUAAAGCUAGAGUCCGGAAGAGGAGAGUGGAAUUCCUGGUGUAGCGGUGAAAUGCGCAGAUAUCUGGGGGAAGGCCGGCGGCGAAGGCGCCUUUCUGGGAGAUUCCUGACACUGAGGCGCGAAAGCCAGGGGAGCAAACGGG